UACGGGGGGGGCAAGCGUUGUUCGGAAUUACUGGGCGUAAAGGGCUCGUAGGUGGCCAACUAAGUCAGACGUGAAAUCCCUCGGCUUAGCCGGGGAACUGCGUCUGAUACUGGAUGGCUUGAGUUCGGGAGAGGGAUGCGGAAUUCCAGGUGUAGCGGUGAAAUGCGUAGAUAUCUGGAGGAACACCGGUGGCGAAGGCGGCAUCCUGGACCGACACUGACGCUGAGGCGCGACAGCGUGGGGAGCAAACAGG
rnacentral:rRNA from 1 species